UGGGGAAUAUUGCACAAUGGGCGCAAGCCUGAUGCAGCCAUGCCGCGUGUGUGAAGAAGGCCUUCGGGUUGUAAAGCACUUUCAGCGAGGAGGAAGGUGGUGAACUUAAUACGUUCAUCAAUUGACGUUACUCGCAGAAGAAGCACCGGCUAACUCCGUGCCAGCAGCCGCGGUAAUACGGAGGGUGCAAGCGUUAAUCGGAAUUACUGGGCGUAAAGCGCACGCAAGGCGGUUUGUUAAGUCAGAUGUGAAAUCCCCGGGCUCAACCUGGGAACUGCAUUUGAAACUGGCAAGCUAGAGUCUCGUAGAGGGGGGUAGAAUUCCAGGUGUAGCGGUGAAAUGCGUAGAGAUCUGGAGGAAUACCGGUGGCGAAGGCGGCCCCCCUGGACGAAGACUGACGCUCAGG
rnacentral:rRNA from 1 species